UACAGAGGGGGCAAGCGUUGUUCGGAAUUACUGGGCGUAAAGGGCGCGUAGGCGGCCUUCUAAGUCGAACGUGAAAUCCCCGGGCUCAACCCGGGAACUGCGUCCGAUACUGGAAGGCUUGAAUCCGGGAGAGGGAUGCGGAAUUCCAGGUGUAGCGGUGAAAUUCGUAGAUAUCGGGAGGAACACCGGUGGCGAAGGCGGCGACCUGGGUGGAUACUGACGCUGAGGCGCGAAAGCGUGGGGAGCAAACAGG
rnacentral:rRNA from 1 species